rnacentral:rRNA from 1 species
UACGGAGGGUGCAAGCGUUAAUCGGAAUUACUGGGCGUAAAGGGUUCGUAGGUGGUAUUUUAAGUUAACUGUGAAAUCCCUGGGCUUAACCUGGGGCGGUCAGUUAAGACUGGAGUACUUGAGUAUGGGAGAGGGUAGUGGAAUUUCCGGUGUAGCGGUGAAAUGCGUAGAGAUCGGAAGGAACACCAGUGGCGAAGGCGGCUACCUGGCCUAAUACUGACACUGAGGAACGAAAGCGUGGGGAGCAAACAGG